UACAGAGGGGGCAAGCGUUGUUCGGAAUUACUGGGCGUAAAGGGCGCGUAGGCGGCCCGCUAAGUCGAACGUGAAAUCCCCGAGCUCAACUCGGGAACUGCGUCCGAUACUGGCGGGCUUGAAUCCGGGAGAGGGAUGCGGAAUUCCAGGUGUAGCGGUGAAAUGCGUAGAUAUCUGGAGGAACACCAAUUGCGAAGGCAGCUCGCUGGGACGUUACUGACGCUGAGACGCGAAAGCGUGGGGAGCAAACAGG
rnacentral:rRNA from 1 species